UAACGGCGUCUGGGCCGGGCCACGGCUCCAAAACAAAGGGCAGGCGGCCCGCGGGGCGGCGGCGGGAGGAUGCCUCGCGCCCUGCCUAGACGCUAACGGCCUCAGCGCGUCCCGGGCCGCGCCGGGAACGCCUGAGAGCCAAGCCCGCGCUGACCGGGGCCCGGGCCGGAUGGGCGCUGCGGGCCGGGGCGCGGACCGCGGAGCGGCCAGACAAGAUCUCACUCUGUUGCCCAGGCUGGUCUCAAAUUCCUGGCCUCAAGUGAUCCUCCCGUCUCAGCCUCCCAAUGUGCUGGGAUUUAUAGGUUACGUUUUUCUCUCGUCCCAGCUGUGUGGACAGUGCCACACGCCCUCCUGGACAACGACGGCUCUUGCGUGCAUUUUCCAGUGUUUCUUUUGUCAGAGAGGCCAGCAGAGCCAGGGUUCUUCCAGAACCAGCCCUGAGCUGAGUGAGGAGUGCCCAGGAGAGAUGGUGAAAAUGACAAAGUCCAAAACUUUCCAAGCGUAUCUGCCGAAUUGUCACCGAACGUACAGCUGCAUCCACUGCAGAGCACACCUGGCCAAUCAUGAUGAGCUCAUCUCCAAGUCCUUUCAGGGGAGCCAGGGACGCGCCUACCUCUUCAAUUCUGUGGUGAACGUGGGCUGCGGCCCCGCAGAGGAGAGGGUCCUUCUCACCGGGCUGCAUGCGGUCGCCGACAUCUACUGCGAGAACUGCAAGACCACACUCGGGUGGAAAUACCCUGGGCGACAGAGUGAGACCCUAUCUCAAAACAAGCAAAUGAAAAACCUUUUAGUGUAUGUGCUGCCGAAGUGAGCACAUGAAAAACUUUCAACAACAAAUGUAAAGUAAACCUGCACUGCCUCAGUGGACUCACCUGGAACAGACCCUUCAGCGCUGGGAGCAUGCAUUUGAGAGCAGUCAGAAAUAUAAGGAAGGAAAAUUCAUCAUUGAGCUUGCUCACAUGAUCAAAGACAAUGGCUGGGAGUAAAGUGCGAACUUUCCCUUCUCCUUCGAAUGCUGUUUUGUGAAAGAAACUGAAUGUAAUGGAAACGUAGGAGCAGCCGGUGGGAGCCUUUCCUGCCCUCUGACCUCAAAGGCUAGCUGCGCAUAGCUCUUGACACACUCGGCCAUCUCUGUGGGUAAGGUGUCCCCUCGGAUCUGUCCUGUUCACGUACACGGUUGUUUCUGAAAAUCUUCAAUGCGCUUCUAACUUCUCAAGUUCUAGAGAAAGAAUUAACCAACUGAUGACUUACCCGCCUAGUUAAUACCUUCCUUUCACCUGUCUUCAAUAUAGUUGGGCUCUGCUUUUUUAAGGUUCAGUUGAAAACCAAACUGAGGCCGGGCGCAGUGGCUCACGCCUGUAAUCCCAGCACUUUGGGAGGCCGAGGCGGGUGGAUCACCUGAGGUCAGGGGUUCUAGACCAGCCUGGCCAACAUGGGGAAACCCCGUCUCUACUAAAAAUACAAAAAUUAGCUGGGCAUGGUGGUGGCUGCCUGUAAUCUUAGCUACUCAGGAGGCUGAGGCAGGAGAAUCACUUGAACCUGGGAGGCGGAGGUUUCAGUGAGCUAGGAUCGCGCCAUCGCACUCCAGCCUGGGGCACAAGAGCGAGACUUCGUCUCAAAAAAAAAAAAAAUUAGCUGGGUAUGGUGGCGUAUGCCUGUAGUCCCACCUACUCAGGAGGCUGAUGCAGGGGAAUCACUUGAACCCAGCAGGCGGAGGUUGCAGUGAGCCGAGAUCGUGCCACUGCACUUCAGCCUGGCGACAGAGCAGGACUCCGUCUGAAAAAAAAGAGAACCAAACUAAGUCUCUGAAGACCAUAGGGACAGGGUCUCUUUAGAUAGUAAGUCUCACUAUUCCCCUUUUUAGAGAAAAGGUAUUGUAGCCCAUCCUCCACCCUACUCUUUUUCUUAAAAUUCGCAAAACUUCAAAUUGGCUAUUCCUCUUUCAAAUGAACCACUGAAGUACAGUGUUCAUUUAAGAAUCUUACAGAGGCAGUCAACAGACUUAUACACUAAGGGUAUUUUUGGUUUUUAGCCUGUUCAGAAACAGGGGCCAGCACUGAUGACAUUUUAGAUACACUCUAAAUUGAGAAAUGUGUCUAGUGGAACAUGUUGUUUAUUUAAGCCAGUAGAUUCCUUAUCUAGAAAGCAGGUGAGCUGGCCCUUAGAGAAGGCCGUCCCAGGGGCCUGCAGAGGUGCCGUUACUGAGGCGACAGCCUCACAGGUCUGGUACCAGGGGUUGUGCCCUCGGCGGUGACAGCAACUUAGGUGUCAGGCAGUUGCUGAGGGGCCGGUCCAUGUCAUUAUAGAGUAACACACUGGACCGAGUAAAAGUCGGAUUUCAUUUUCUACCCUGGAUGUACUUGAAAAGAAUUAUUUUUGCAUAUGAAAGAGGCCAGAACCCACAGGAAAAACUUCAAAACUUGACUUUUGCCAGAAUGUAGAAAAUUUGUUCAGAAAAGGUUAAAGCAACAAGACAGGUUUAGCCUUUGUGCAUAAGCCUGCUAGAUGCAUCGCCCGUCCCUGCGUGGUGCUGUCCCAUGUCACUUGAACUGAUAGAAGGGCCUGUGCAAUCUCCUAAGGCCUGUGUUUCUGCCACAUAUUUUAUUAUGAAUUACAAUCCACCCAUCCACCUGCCCUCCACCAGGAGUGGGCACCCCAUAAGGGUUUAGGCCACUUUGCAGAGGAUGGAGGUCAAAAACCAUUCCCGGAUAAGUUUGGUUUUCAACAUUUAGUAACUUGUCUCAGGGCACAGAGGGCAGGCAGGAGACUGGGGGAGGCCAAGGGGCAGCAGAUAGGAGAGCACUGAGCCUGGACAGUUCUCAGCCUGGCGAGUGGCUCUGAAGCUGCCUUCAGACAAGGCUCCUCUGGGGCAAGAGUGCGAGCUGGCACACAGGAAGAACGUGGCCACCUGUCCAGCUUCACACCUCCCCUGACGUAAGCCCUUCCUAAACCCAGAGCUACGGUCCAUGCAGGCACUGGGCUGUGCCCACUCGAGCUCACUGCCCACGUAGAGCAUGCCUUUGGGUGCCAUCUCUUGGCCCAAGCCUUGGUAUGUGGGACAUGCCGCUGCCCUGGUGGGCAUGGCACUGAGAUGCAUCAAUUCAGCAGGAGUGACAAAGGCAGAAGUUCCUUUAAAGCACAUCUUCCACUUAGGAAAGGAAGGAAGUUUUUGUACUGUCUCGUAAGCCUCCACAUCCAGCUAUGGCCCUGCAAGCUGCCUUAUCCCUGCGCUAGUCUCCCUCACGGGUUCAGGCUGGCCCAGCACAUCCCGACCUCCUGAGCUCGCGUGCCGCCAUCCAGAGCACAGGGGUCACCGCACGCUGCAGGGCUCUUGCUGCCUUGUCUCAAGCCUGGAGAGGCUCUGCCCACGAGCUGGCACAUGAAGUUAGCAACGCCUGUGGCUUCAGUCAAUUGUCUGAGACUCUGAAGAGGCCGAGACACCUUCCCGACUGGAAGAAGUUGUUCACUGAAAACUUAUUUUAAACUGACCCUUCCCUUCGAGUCUUCAUUCCUCUCCCAUGUGGGAACCCAGCCUUGGAUGCCCUGGGGACUAGGGGAAACAGUUGGGGGUUUGUGCCGUCCCCAGCCUGCUAUGGGUGUGAGGACAGCCAGGUCCUGAGUGACUCAUGUUUCACUUACAUUGAAGAAUCUUCUAAAACUCUUCCGAGUGGUUUUACACACUCAAGUUCUAUUUAAGAGCUGUUCUGUGUGUUGGGCGAGUUCGCUGCUCCCUCGAUUUGGGCACUUUGGUUUUUGUCUUUCCUGACGGCAUCGAUUGGACAUUUUUUACUAGUCUUAUGAAUUUUCUUAUGACUUAUUUUGUAUUUUUUUUUUGUAACUUAUACCAACAAAACUUUUAUCACUUUUUGUUGUUGUUGUUGGGCUUCUGCAAAAUGCAAGCUCAUUUUUAAACCAAAUGACUAGACCAUGAGCUGGCGACAGGGGAAGUGCUAUUCACAAGACCAUGUCUACCACCCUCUAAAAUUCCUGAACAAUAUCAUCUGGGACUUCUAUUUAUUUAAAACAAAUCUUCCUUGAGAGCCUUGGGAGGUGAUGUCAGGGUUAUAAAUGGCACAGUGCAUUUGCUGUAGGAAUGUGGUUUGGCACUGUUUUAUACACACACAGUAUUUUUAUACCUUAAUGCUUAUUCUUGAUGGCAUCUGUCAGAUAUGAGAAUCAGAAAUAAGAAUCUUCCCAAAAUCCUUUAAUUUACCUGAUGCCCUCAUCAGGUUGUUAAAAAUUCAAGUGGUUUUAAUAGCUAAAAACCUGCAAAUUAAGCUCUAAAACAAACUACAGAAAUGUAAACCUUCACUUGCCAAAGGUCCUUGGUGGCCUGUCCCCUGCCCCAGGGGCAGAUGGCCCUGAAGCCCUUCCCUCACUGUGCAGGCCACUGGGUGAGGCUGGAUGGUCACCCACGGCGGCUUCACUGCAAGGAGCAGGACUGCCAAGCUCAAGCACGGGGCCUUCAACUUCCCCUGUCCUCUGGCCACGCUGCCAGCCCUUGGUCCUUAUCUGUGUGAGGUUUACAAAUAAAGCUUCUGAUGUCAAAUGUUUA